GGUGAAGAACGCAGCAAAAUGCGAUAAGUAAUGUGAAUUGCAGAAUUCAGUGAAUCAUCGAAUCUUUGAACGCACAUUGCGCCCCCUGGUAUUCCGGGGGGCAUGCCUGUUCGAGCGUCAUUACAACCCUCAAGCUCUGCUUGGUAUUGGGCCCCGCCAGUUCUGGCGGGCCCUAAAGUCAGUGGCGGUGCCUUCCGGCUCCGAGCGUAGUAAUUCUUCUCGCUCUGGAGACCCGGUUGUGUGCUUGCCAACAACCCCCAAUUUUUUAAGGUUGACCUCGGAUCAGGUAGGGAUACCCGCUGAACUUAAGCAUAUCAAUAAGCGGAGGA
rnacentral:misc_RNA from 1 species